rnacentral:rRNA from 1 species
GACGAACGCUGGCGGCAGGCCUAACACAUGCAAGUCGAACGCCCCGCAAGUGGAUUUGCAGACUGGUGAGUAACACAUGGGAACCGUCCCUAUAGUACAGAAUAGCCCAGAGAAACUUGUAAUAAUACCGUAUACGCCCUAAUAGGGAAAGAAGUUCGCUAUAGGAUGGGCCCGCUUGGGAUUAUCUAGUUGGUGAGGUAAUGGCUCACCAAGGCGACGAUCCUUAUCUGGUUUGAGAUAACGACCAGCCACACUGGUACUGCGACACGGCCUAGACUCCUACGCGAGGGAGCAGUGGGGAACACUGGACACUGGGCGCAAGUCCGACAACGCCAUGCCGGGUGAGUGAUGAAGGCCUUAGUGUUGUACAGCCCUUUUGGAGGGGACGAUAAUGACGGUACUCGCAGAAUAAGCACCGGCUAACUUCGUG